rnacentral:rRNA from 1 species
CUUGGUCAUUUAGAGGAAGUAAAAGUCGUAACAAGGUCUCCGUUGGUGAACCAGCGGAGGGAUCAUUACCGAGUUUACAACUCCCAAACCCAAUGUGAACCAUACCAAACUGUUGCCUCGGCGGGGUCACGCCCCGGGUGCGUCGCAGCCCCGGAACCAGGCGCCCGCCGGAGGGACCAACCAAACUCUUUUCUGUAGUCCCCUCGCGGACGUUAUUUCUUACAGCUCUGAGCAAAAAUUCAAAAUGAAUCAAAACUUUCAACAACGGAUCUCUUGGUUCUGGCAUCGAUGAAGAACGCAGCGAAAUGCGAUAAGUAAUGUGAAUUGCAGAAUUCAGUGAAUCAUCGAAUCUUUGAACGCACAUUGCGCCCGCCAGUAUUCUGGCGGGCAUGCCUGUCCGAGCGUCAUUUCAACCCUCGAACCCCUCCGGGGGGUCGGCGUUGGGGACCUCGGGAGCCCCUAAGACGGGAUCCCGGCCCCGAAAUACAGUGGCGGUCUCGCCGCAGCCUCUCCUGCGCAGUAGUUUGCACAACUCGCACCGGGAGCGCGGCGCGUCCACGUCCGUAAAACACCCAACUUCUGAAAUGUUGACCUCGGAUCAGGUAGGAAUACCCGCUGAACUUAAGCAUAUCAAUAAGCGAAGG